rnacentral:rRNA from 1 species
AAGAGUUUGAUCCUGGCUCAGGACGAACGCUGGCGGCGUGCCUAACACAUGCAAGUCGAACGAAGUUUGUAUUUCCACCAAGCGUUGAACAAAGCGCCCAAGCGCAGAAAAAAGCGAAGAAUAAGUUUAACAAGUGAAGUGGGAAUAAAAAGAAAUAAGAAGAGAAGUGCGAAUGCGCUUCACGCUUAUUCCAAGUACCAACACAACACUAAAAAACAAAAUUUCAGUGUUUGGUGGAAAUACAAACUUAGUGGCGGACGGGUGAGUAACGCGUGAACAAUCUGCCCUAUACAAAGGAAUAGCCUCGGGAAACUGGGAUUAAAACCAUAUAACACUUUUAGGCCGCAUGGCUAGGAAGUCAAAUUGAUUAAGAGGUAUAGGAUGAGUUCGCGUCUGAUUAGCUAGUUGGUGAGGUAAUGGCUCACCAAGGCGACGAUCAGUAGCCGGCCUGAGAGGGUGAACGGCCACACUGGAACUGAGACACGGUCCAGACUCCUACGGGAGGCAGCAGUGGGGAAUAUUGCACAAUGGGCGAAAGCCUGAUGCAGCGACGCCGCGUGAGUGAAGAAGGUCUUCGGAUCGUAAAACUCUGUCCUUGGUGAAGAAAAAAAUGACGGUAGCCAAGGAGGAAGCCCCGGCUAACUACGUGCCAGCAGCCGCGGUAAUACGUAGGGGGCGAGCGUUGUCCGGAUUUACUGGGCGUAAAGGGUGAGUAGGCGGUUGUAUAAGCGCGAGGUGAAAGGCUAUGGCUCAACCAUAGUAAGCCUUGUGAACUGUAAGACUUGAGUGCAGGAGAGGAAAGUGGAAUUCCUAGUGUAGCGGUGAAAAUGCGUAGAUAUUAGGAGGAACACCAGUGGCGAAGGCGACUUUCUGGACUGUAACUGACACUGAGGCACGAAAGCGUGGGGAGCAAACAGGAUUAGAUACCCUGGUAGUCCACGCCGUAAACGAUGAGCACUAGGUGUCGGGGCCCGCAAGGUUUCGGUGCCGCAGUUAACGCAUUAAGUGCUCCGCCUGGGGAGUACGCACGCAAGUGUGAAACUCAAAGGAAUUGACGGGGACCCGCACAAGCAGCGGAGCAUGUGGUUUAAUUCGAAGCAACGCGAAGAACCUUACCAGGACUUGACAUCCCUCUGACCGGCGCUUAACCGUGCCUUCCCUUCGGGGCAGAGGUGACAGGUGGUGCAUGGUUGUCGUCAGCUCGUGUCGUGAGAUGUUGGGUUAAGUCCCGCAACGAGCGCAACCCUUGUCAUUAGUUGCCAGCAGUUCGGCUGGGCACUCUAGUGAGACUGCCGGGGAUAACUCGGAGGAAGGUGGGGAUGACGUCAAAUCAUCAUGCCCCUUAUGUUCUGGGCUACACACGUGCUACAAUGGCUGGUACAAAGAGACGCAAGACCGCGAGGUGGAGCAAAUCUCAAAAACCAGUCCCAGUUCGGAUUGUAGGCUGCAACUCGCCUACAUGAAGUUGGAGUUGCUAGUAAUCGCGAAUCAGAAUGUCGCGGUGAAUGCGUUCCCGGGUCUUGUACACACCGCCCGUCACACCAUGGAAGUUGGGGGCGCCCGAAGUUGGCCAGUUAAUAGGUUACCUAAGGCGAAAUCAAUGACUGGGGUGAAGUCGUAACAAGGUAACCA